rnacentral:rRNA from 1 species
UACGUAGGGGGCAAGCGUUGUCCGGAAUCAUUGGGCGUAAAGAGCGUGUAGGCGGCCCGGUAAGUCCGCUGUGAAAGUCCAGGGCUCAACCCUGGGAUGCCGGUGGAUACUGUCGGGCUCGAGUCCGGAAGAGGAGUGUGGAAUUCCUGGUGUAGCGGUGAAAUGCGCAGAUAUCAGGAGGAACACCAAUGGCGAAGGCAGCACUCUGGGACGUGACUGACGCUGAGACGCGAAAGCGUGGGGAGCAAACAUG